rnacentral:rRNA from 1 species
GAUGAACGCUAGCUAUAGGCUUAACACAUGCAAGUCGAGGGGAAACGGCAUUAUGUGCUUGCACAUUUUGGACGUCGACCGGCGCACGGGUGAGUAUCGCGUAUCCAACCUGCCCUUUACUUGGGGAUACCCCGUUGAAAGACGGCCUAAUACCCGAUGUAAUUCAUUGAUGGCAUCAGAUAUGAAUAAAAGAUUUAUCGGUAAAGGAUGGGGAUGCGUCUGAUUAGCUUGUUGGUGAGGUAACGGCUCACCAAGGCGACGAUCAGUAGGGGUUCUGAGAGGAAGGUCCCCCACAUUGGAACUGAGACACGGUCCAAACUCCUACGGGAGGAAGCAGUGAGGAAUAUUGGUCAAUGGGCGCAAGCCUGAACCAGCCAAGUAGCGUGCAGGAAGACGGCCCUAUGGGUUGUAAACUGCUUUUAUACGAGAAUAAUUUGAUGCACGUGUGCGUUAUUGCAUGUAUCGUAUGAAUAAGGACCGGCUAAUUCCGUG